AGAGUUUGAUCCUGGCUCAGGACGAACGCUGGCGGCGCGCCUAACACAUGCAAGUCGAACGGAGCUGAGAGAAGCUUGCUUUUCUUAGCUUAGUGGCGAACGGGUGAGUAACGCGUGAGUAACCUGCCCUGGAGUGGGGGACAACAGUUGGAAACGACUGCUAAUACCGCAUAAGCCCACGGUGCUGCAUGGCACUGCGGGAAAAGGAUUUAUUCGCUCUAGGAUGGACUCGCGUCCAAUUAGCUAGUUGGUGAGGUAACGGCCCACCAAGGCGACGAUUGGUAGCCGGACUGAGAGGUUGAACGGCCACAUUGGGACUGAGACACGGCCCAGACUCCUACGGGAGGCAGCAGUGGGGGAUAUUGCACAAUGGGGGAAACCCUGAUGCAGCGACGCCGCGUGGAGGAAGAAGGUUUUCGGAUUGUAAACUCCUGUCGUUAGGGACGAUAAUGACGGUACCUAACAAGAAAGCACCGGCUAACUACGUGCCAGCAGCCGCGGUAAAACGUAGGGUGCAAGCGUUGUCCGGAAUUACUGGGUGUAAAGGGAGCGCAGGCGGACCGGCAAGUUGGAAGUGAAAUCCAUGGGCUCAACCCGUGAAUUGCUUUCAAAACUGCUGGCCUUGAGUAGUGCAGAGGUAGGUGGAAUUCCCGGUGUAGCGGUGGAAUGCGUAGAUAUCGGGAGGAACACCAGUGGCGAAGGCGACCUACUGGGCACCAACUGACGCUGAGGCUCGAAAGCAUGGGUAGCAAACAGGAUUAGAUACCCUGGUAGUCCAUGCCGUAAACGAUGAUUACUAGGUGUUGGAGGAUUGACCCCUUCAGUGCCGCAGUUAACACAAUAAGUAAUCCACCUGGGGAGUACGACCGCAAGGUUGAAACUCAAAGGAAUUGACGGGGGCCCGCACAAGCAGUGGAAGUAUGUGGUUUAAUUCGAAGCAACGCGAAGAACCUUACCAGGUCUUGACAUCCCAAUGCAUAAUGCAAAGAUGCAUGAAAUCCUUCCGGGAAUCGAGACAGGUGGUGCAUGGUUGUCGUCAGCUCGUGUCGUGAGAUGUUGGGUUAAGUCCCGCAACGAGCGCAACCCUUAUUGCCAGUUACUACGAAAGAGGACUCUGGCGAGACUGCCGUUGACAAAACGGAGGAAGGUGGGGAUGACGUCAAAUCAUCAUGCCCUUUAUGACCUGGGCUACACACGUACUACAAUGGCGUUUAACAAAGAGAAGCAAGACCGCGAGGUGGAGCAAAACUCAGAAACAACGUCUCAGUUCAGAUUGCAGGCUGCAACUCGCCUGCAUGAAGUCGGAAUUGCUAGUAAUCGCGGAUCAGCAUGCCGCGGUGAAUACGUUCCCGGGCCUUGUACACACCGCCCGUC
rnacentral:rRNA from 1 species